UGGGGAAUAUUGGACAAUGGGCGCAAGCCUGAUCCAGCCAUGCCGCGUGAGUGAUGAAGGCCCUAGGGUUGUAAAGCUCUUUCACCGGUGAAGAUAAUGACGGUAACCGGAGAAGAAGCCCCGGCUAACUUCGUGCCAGCAGCCGCGGUAAUACGAAGGGGGCUAGCGUUGUUCGGAUUUACUGGGCGUAAAGCGCACGUAGGCGGACUAUUAAGUCAGGGGUGAAAUCCCGGGGCUCAACCCCGGAACUGCCUUUGAUACUGGUAGUCUUGAGUUCGAGAGGGGUGAGUGGAAAUCCGAGUGUAGAGGUGAAAUUCGUAGAUAUUCGGGGAAACACCAGUGGCGAAGGCGGCUCACUGGCUCGAUACUGACGCUGAGGUGCGAAAGCGUGGGGAGCAAACAGG
rnacentral:rRNA from 1 species